rnacentral:ncRNA from 1 species
UAUUUUCGGGGCGGGGUGCAAUUCCCCACCGGCAGUUAAAGUCUGCGACCUGUGUUUUAAACAUUUAAAAUACGGCUGAAUCGGUGAAAUUCCGAUACCGACGGUAUAGUCCGGAUGAGAGAAAAUG